AUGCAGCCCAAAUCGGGCGGUAGACUCCGUCCAAGGCUAAAUACAGGCGAGAGACCGAUAGCGAACAAGUACCGCGAGGGAAAGAUGAAAAGGACGUUGAAAAGAGAGUCAAAGAGUGCUCGGCCAAAGCCCGGGGGCCCUAGGUGCCCCCGGUGGCCGUCAUCGGCACGGCCGGUACCCGCGCGCCGAAAGGGGUGUCCCUCGGGGCACUGCGCUGCAACGGCCUGCGGGCUCCCCAUCCGACCCAUCUUGAAACACGGACCAAGGAGUCUGACAUGCGUGCGAGUCGACGGGUUCUGA
rnacentral:rRNA from 1 species